rnacentral:lncRNA from 1 species
AAUAAAAUAACCAACAAAAAAUAAAUGUGUCUGAGGAAGGCAUUUAUUUCUUUCCUUAACUAAUCACAGAUGAAUUAUUAAUCACCAUUAUGUUUAAUGUAUUCAAUAUGCAGAAUCAGUUAGCUGGGGUCUUAAUUUUUUUGUGUGUCAGCCUUAUGUGGGAAAGAUUAAAACUCACACACAAUGGAAAACUUUAGCUCUGCCAUCUCACACGUGUCCGUGUCCGUGUCCAUGGGCUCAAAACCCUGUAAUUUAGUGACAGACACCCAGGUCUGUGGUUGUGUUUCUGAGCACUCUCCCCCAUGCUGAGCUUGAAUCUAGUUUAACUGUCACAAUCAUCACAAAAGUUUUUGAAUGUCAGGAGUCUCCUGAGAAUCCUAGAACUCAUUAUAGUCAUGAAAGGAGUUGAUUUUGUAACUAUAUUCUCUACAGAGACUUGGGUAAUUCUGGAGUCUCCUUUCCCUAGCAUUUACAGAUGUGGAUUGGUGUACAUAAGGGAUUAUAGAGAUCAAUCUAGAAACUGUCUAUGAACAAAUGGCUAAAGAGUGCAGUAUGUAUUGUAGUUCUAUUUCUAUCUUCCUUCUUACAUUGUCUUUUUUGACAAAAAUCUAGACAGUUUUCCAAAGGAGUUUCUCGUUUUUACCUCACCCUUAAUCUAACAUCAUAUUGUGCCUUAAUCUAACAUCAUUUUAAUUCUUUAUUUUCUCUGACUGAGGCAUCCAGCUCCCCAAUUAUAAGUCUGAUAAUCUCUUUCCCAGUGCUUCUCUAUGAGUUAUUAUUUUUCAUCCUACUGCAUUUUCCUUAUUUUCUUAUUUCUGGUGAGUCUAACCUCCUAUUGAACUCAAUUUUCACAUCCCAUAUUGUUGUCCUUGUUUCUUUCUGGCAUCCACUAUUAUUUUCUUGCCCACGAAUCAUUUUGUUCCUGGCCUCUUUGAGUUGAUUUCCAUGGUUUACAAGCUUUGAUCUCUUUGAUCAUGACUCUGGGUACUCAAUUCUUUAUCUUGGAUAUCAUGUAAAUUGCCAUCCUUAUGGGAUACAUAUGGUUUGUGGCUUAGCCAAAGGCAUUAUAUCUUCAUUUUACUUUGUUUAGGGUAUUUGUUCUAAGCACCAGAAUUCAGAGGGAUUGAUGACUUUUGAGCAUCUUUAGUCCAGCAUACUAGACUCACAAUGUGACAAGUUAGGCAGGAGAAUUUGGAUGUAAAUGGUUCAGAACCCAGGUGCAGUAUCCUACUACACCCACUUCUGGUCUAGUCUGGCAGCAAGCUUAUGGGGAAGAAAAUGUAGAGUAGGUCCUGGGCAUCCUGACAGCCUCAGUUGUGUGGAAGGCAGCCUGCAACAGACUUGGAGGAGUGGUUCCUGAGGGGAGGAUGGGCAGACGUGCCUGUUCAGAUGAGUUUUAAAAAAGACAAAAUAAAAACCAAAGGAAAAAAUCAAUCAAUCAUGCAACCAAAAAUCCAAAUCAACAAAAAAAGCUGUGAAGAAUUGGAAACCUAAUUAAUUAAAAGGUCCCAAAGUAGGUGAACUUAGAAGAAUUAAGUAACAGGAAGCUGCUGAAUAUUGGGCUCCAGAAGGAGUUGCUGGGAGAAACUCAGAAGUGACAGGAAGUUCUGCCAUUCCUGUGUUCUCAAUGUGUCUCACCUUUCUCUGGUUCAGGAAGUCCUGGUGGGAGACUAGUCCUGAGUGUUGGAGGUACCUGAAAACUUCCUUAAGCUGCAGUUGCUGUGCCAGCUUCCUAGGACAUUCAUCAGCUGGUCCUGUCACCUGCCAGACUUCUGCCCGAUUCUCAGUACCGUGUCGGUGCAGGCACGGACAAGAGGGGUUGGCCAAGAGAGAACGAAGAGCCAAGAAAAAGCACCUAAGCAAAAAUGUCUUCAUGGUGAUUUUAAGUGUGCAGCGGCUAGAGACACUGGGCUGCUACAGAGUUGGGAUGUGUGUUUCAGGUAAGAUAUCUAGCAGAUAUCUUGGGACACUGUGGUGCCAGAUCUAGUGGGGGUAAAAGAUAGCAUUUUAUAUUUUAAAUUUUUACCACACUUCUGAUUUUAAUCUAUGGAUAAAUAUUUGUUACUACUGCAUGCUAAUUUCACCUGUUUUGAUGGUCACAAUCUUUUUAAUGUAGAUAAACACAAAUAGUAAUGUAUAGUAUUCAGACACUGAGACUCUUGAGUACAAGAAGACCAUAGCACUCUAGCCUAGCAUUUCCUAAGAAAGUAUCUCAGAGAGUGGGUUCCUUUACUCCUAGAUGUAUCUGGCCAUUGUCCCAUCUAAGAGCUGUAACAAUGU